AAAUAAGAAGUAAAGUUUACAUUUAGUUUCGACCUAAAAAUUUGAUGAAUUAAAUCAUCCUUAUUUA
rnacentral:tRNA from 1 species